ACUCCUACGGGAGGCAGCAGUGGGGAAUAUUGCACAAUGGGCGCAAGCCUGAUGCAGCCAUGCCGCGUGUGUGAAGAAGGCCUUCGGGUUGUAAAGCACUUUCAGUUGUGAGGAAGGUGGUGUCGUUAAUAGCGGCAUCAUUUGACGUUAGCAACAGAAGAAGCACCGGCUAACUCCGUGCCAGCAGCCGCGGUAAUACGGAGGGUGCAAGCGUUAAUCGGAAUUACUGGGCGUAAAGCGUGCGCAGGCGGUCUGUUAAGCGAGAUGUGAAAGCCCCGGGCUCAAGCCUGGGAACUGCAUUUCGAACUGGCAGACUAGAGUCUUGUAGAGGGGGGUAGAAUUCCAGGUGGUAGCGG
rnacentral:rRNA from 1 species